GGCCAGUAUGAGUCCCACAUGGCCUUCACAAUGCCUGGUCUGUACCGUGUUGUCCACGGUAUUGAUGUGUUUGACCCGAAGUUCAACAUUGUCUCACCUGGUGCGGACAUGUCCAUCUACUUCCCUUACACCGAGUCACACAAGAGGCUGACCUCCCUCCACCCUGAGAUUGAGGAGCUCCUCUACAGCCAAACGGAGAACAACGAGCACAAGUAAGAAUCAUGUCAUACUUAGCUUAAGCUGUGUUGUACGUGACACAUUCGUUGCUGGUCAUCUGACUACAAUCCCUCUGUGCAGGUUUGUGCUGAACGACAGGAACAAGCCCAUCAUCUUCUCCAUGGCUCGUCUUGACCGCGUCAAGAACUUGACUGGUCUGGUUGAGCUGUACGGCCGGAACAAGCGGCUGCAGGAGUUGGUUAACCUUGUGGUUGUCUGCGGUGACCACGGCAACCCUUCCAAGGACAAGGAGGAGCAGGCUGAGUUCAAGAAGAUGUUUGACCUUAUCGAGCAGUACAACCUGAACGGGCACAUCCGCUGGAUCUCUGCCCAGAUGAACCGUGUCCGCAACGGUGAGCUCUACCGCUACAUUUGCGACACCCAGGGUGCUUUCGUGCAGGUAACUAUCACGCUCCUGCGGGCUUUUCAUGGUGCUGAAAGAUUCAUGCUUGAGUGCAAAUUUAGUCGGUACUGACCAUGCCUGUUUUCUGCAGCCUGCUUUCUAUGAGGCUUUCGGUCUGACUGUGGUUGAGGCCAUGACCUGCGGUCUGCCCACAUUCGCUACCGCCUACGGUGGUCCAGCUGAGAUCAUCGUGCACGGCGUGUCCGGCUACCACAUUGACCCGUACCAGGGCGACAAGGCCUCGGCGCUGCUUGUGGACUUCUUUGAGAAGUGCAAGGAGGACUCCAGCCACUGGAGCAAGAUCUCGCAGGGUGGGCUCCAGCGUAUCGAGGAGAAGUAUGCAUCUUAUUUGUAGCACACUGAUCUCUGUAUUUCCAUGGCAAUGUUUCUCACUUGCUAAUGUUGUCAUUCCACCAAUUCUGUUGAUCCAGAUACACCUGGAAGCUCUACUCGGAGAGGCUGAUGACCCUGACCGGCGUGUACGGGUUCUGGAAGUACGUGUCUAACCUGGAGAGGCGCGAGACCCGGCGGUACCUGGAGAUGCUGUACGCGCUCAAGUACCGCACCAUGGC
rnacentral:lncRNA from 1 species